CUAACGGGACUGCCCGCGAAAGCGGGAGGAAGAGGGGACGACGUCUGGUCAGCAUGGCCCUUACGGCCUGGGCGACACACGUGCUACAAUGCCCACUACAAAGCGAUGCCACCCGGCAACGGGGAGCUAAUCGCAAAAAAGGUGGGCCCAGUUCGGAUUGGGGUCUGCAACCCGACCCCAUGAAGCCGGAAUCGCUAGUAAUCGCGGAUCAGCCAUGCCGCGGUGAAUACGUUCCCGGGCCUU
rnacentral:rRNA from 1 species